rnacentral:rRNA from 1 species
GACGAACGCUGGCGGCGUGCUUAACACAUGCAAGUCGAACGAUGAAACCGGAGCUUGCUCCGGUGGAUUAGUGGCUAACGGGUGAGUAACACGUGAGUAACCUGCCCUUGACUCUGGGAUAACUGCGGGAAACUGUAGCUAAUACCGGAUACGACCCUCGGAGGCAUCUCCUGGGGGUGGAAAGAAUUUCGGUCAAGGAUGGACUCGCGGCCUAUCAGCUAGUUGGUGAGGUAACGGCUCACCAAGGGAACGACGGGUAGCCGGCCUGAGAGGGGGACCGGCCCCCAUGGGACUGGGAGACAGCCCAGACUCCUACGGGAAGCAGCAGUGGGGAAUAUUGCACAAUGGGCGCAAGCCUGAUGCAGCAACGCCGCGUGAGGGAUGCCGGCCUUCGGGUUGUAAACCUCUUUUAGCAGGGAAGAAGCGAAAGUGACGGUACCUGCAGAAAAAGCACCGGCUAACUACGUGCCAGCCGCCGCGGUAA